rnacentral:rRNA from 1 species
AUUGAACGCUGGCGGCAGGCCUAACACAUGCAAGUCGAGCGGAUGAAGGGAGCUUGCUCCUGGAUUCAGCGGCGGACGGGUGAGUAAUGCCUAGGAAUCUGCCUGGUAGUGGGGGAUAACGUCCGGAAACGGGCGCUAAUACCGCAUACGUCCUGAGGGAGAAAGUGGGGGAUCUUCGGACCUCACGCUAUCAGAUGAGCCUAGGUCGGAUUAGCUAGUUGGUGGGGUAAAGGCCUACCAAGGCGACGAUCCGUAACUGGUCUGAGAGGAUGAUCAGUCACACUGGAACUGAGACACGGUCCAGACUCCUACGGGAGGCAGCAGUGGGGAAUAUUGGACAAUGGGCGAAAGCCUGAUCCAGCCAUGCCGCGUGUGUGAAGAAGGUCUUCGGAUUGUAAAGCACUUUAAGUUGGGAGGAAGGGCAGUAAGUUAAUACCUUGCUGUUUUGACGUUACCAACAGAAUAAGCACCGGCUAACUUCGUGCCAGCAGCCGCGGUAAUACGAAGGGUGCAAGCGUUAAUCGGAAUUACUGGGCGUAAAGCGCGCGUAGGUGGUUCAGCAAGUUGGAUGUGAAAUCCCCGGGCUCAACCUGGGAACUGCAUCCAAAACUACUGAGCUAGAGUACGGUAGAGGGUGGUGGAAUUUCCUGUGUAGCGGUGAAAUGCGUAGAUAUAGGAAGGAGCACCAGUGGCGAAGGCGACCACCUGGACUGAUACUGACACUGAGGUGCGAAAGCGUGGGGAGCAAACAGG